UCCUUUGCCAUUAGUCUAUUACAAAUAUAUA
rnacentral:piRNA from 1 species